UGUGCCAGCAGCCGCGGUGAUACGUAGGGUGCAAGCGUUAAUCGGAAUUACUGGGCGUAAAGCGUGCGCAGGCGGUUUUGUAAGACAGUGGUGAAAUCCCCGGGCUCAACCUGGGAACUGCCAUUGUGACUGCAAGGCUGGAGUGCGGCGGAGGGGGAUGGAAUUUCCGCGUGUAGCAGUGAAAUGCGUAGAUAUGCGGAGGAACACCGAUGGCGAAGGCAAUCCCCUGGGCCUGCACUGACGCUCAUGCACGAAAGCGUGGGGAGCAAACAGGAUUAGAUACCCUGGUAGUCCACGCCCUAAACGAUGUCAACUGGUUGUUGGGAAUUAACUUUCUCAGUAACGAAGCUAACGCGUGAAGUUGACCGCCUGGGGAGUACGGCCGCAAGGUUAAAACUCAAAGGAAUUGACGGGGACCCGCACAAGCGGUGGAUGAUGUGGUUUAAUUCGAUGCAACGCGAAAAACCUUACCCACCUUUGACAUGGCAGGAACUUACCAGAGAUGGUUUGGUGCUCGAAAGAGAACCUGCACACAGGUGCUGCAUGGCUGUCGUCAGCUCGUGUCGUGAGAUGUUGGGUUAAGUCCCGCAACGAGCGCAACCCUUGCCAUUAGUUGCUACAUUCAGUUGAGCACUCUAAUGGGACUGCCGGGUGACAAACCGGAGGAAGGUGGGGAUGACGUCAAGUCCUCAUGGGCCCUCAUAGGUGGGGCUACACACGUCAUACAAUGGCUGGUACAAAGGGUUGCCAACCCGCGAGGGGGAGCUAAUCCCAUAAAGCCAGUCGUAGUCCGGAUCGCAGUCUGCAACUCGACUGCGUGAAGUCGGAAUCGCUAGUAAUCGUGGAUCAGAAUGUCACGGUGAAUACGUUCCCGGGUCUUGUACACACCGCCCGUCACACCAUGGGAGCGGGUCUCGCCAGAAGUAGGUAGCCUAACCGCAAGGAGGGCGCUUACCACGGCGGGGUUCGUGACUGGGGUGAAGUCGUAACAAGGUAACCGA
rnacentral:rRNA from 1 species